UACAGAGGCCUCGAGCGUUAGGCGGAAUCACUGGGCUUAAAGCGUGUGUAGGCGGAUUGGUAAGUACCUUGUGAAAUCCCACAGCUUAACUGUGGAACUGCUCGGUAUACUGCUGAUCUUGAGCCACUCAGGGGCUACCGGAACAAAUGGUGGAGCGGUGAAAUGCGUAGAUAUCAGGAAGAACACCCGUGGCGAAGGCGGCUCUCUGGGACGGUACUGACGCUGAGACGCGAAAGCGUGGGGAGCAAACAGG
rnacentral:rRNA from 1 species